rnacentral:rRNA from 1 species
AGAACGAACGCUGGCGGCAUGCCUAACACAUGCAAGUCGAACGCUCCUGGGGCUUCGGUCUCAGGGGAGUGGCGCACGGGUGAGUAACGCGUGGGAACGUACCUUUUGGUUCGGAACAACCCAGGGAAACUUGGGCUAAAUACCGGAUAAGCCCUUACGGGGAAAGAUUUAUCGCCGAAAGAUCGGCCCGCGUCUGAUUAGCUAGUUGGUGAGGUAAUGGCUCACCAAGGCGACGAUCAGUAGCUGGUCUGAGAGGAUGAUCAGCCACAUUGGGACUGAGACACGGCCCAAACUCCUACGGGAGGCAGCAGUGGGGAAUAUUGGACAAUGGGCGCAAGCCUGAUCCAGCCAUGCCGCGUGAGUGAUGAAGGCCCUAGGGUUGUAAAGCUCUUUUGUGCGGGAAGAUAAUGACGGUACCGCAAGAAUAACGCCCGGCUAACUUCGUCGCCAGCAGCCGC